rnacentral:rRNA from 1 species
UUCCUACGGGAGGCAGCAGUGGGGAAUAUUGGGCAAUGGGCGCAAGCCUGACCCAGCAACGCCGCGUGAAGGAAGAAGGCUUUCGGGUUGUAAACUUCUUUUGACAGGGAAGAGUAGAAGACGGUACCUGUCGAAUAAGCCACGGCUAACUACGUGCCAGCAGCCGCGGUAAUACGUAGGUGGCAAGCGUUGUCCGGAUUUACUGGGUGUAAAGGGCGUGUAGGCGGGACUGCAAGUCAGAUGUGAAAACCACGGGCUCAACCUGUGGCCUGCAUUUGAAACUGUAGUUCUUGAGUACUGGAGAG